AUUGAACGCUGGCGGCAGGCUUAACACAUGCAAGUCGAGCGGGGGAGGUUGCUUCGGUAACUGACCUAGCGGCGGACGGGUGAGUAAUGCUUAGGAAUCUGCCUAUUAGUGGGGGACAACAUUCCGAAAGGGAUGCUAAUACCGCAUACGCCCUACGGGGGAAAGCAGGGGAUCUUCGGACCUUGCGCUAAUAGAUGAGCCUAAGUUGGAUUAGCUAGUUGGUGGGGUAAAGGCCUACCAAGGCGACGAUCUGUAGCGGGUCUGGGAGGAUGAUCCGCCACACUGGGACUGAGACACGGCCCAGACUCCUACGGGAGGCAGCAGUGGGGAAUAUUGGACAAUGGGCGGAAGCCUGAUCCAGCCAUGCCGCGUGUGUGAAGAAGGCCUUUUGGUUGUAAAGCACUUUAAGCGAGGAGGAGGCUCUUAAGGUUAAUACCCUUGAUGAGUGGACGUUACUCGCAGAAUAAGCACCGGCUAACUCUGUGCCAGCAGCCGCGGUAACAC
rnacentral:rRNA from 1 species